UUGACAAUUAUGUUUCGACUCGGACGACACUGACAGACAUGAGUUUGAGACCUCCGGCAGGCGCGGGCCGGCCCGAGGGCCGGCGGUCCGGGGACGGGCCUGCCGAAGCAACCGGGUAAGUUCGCGCAGGGUGGGAGGUCUGCCCCGGAGGGCAAGCGCUCGUUAAUGAUCCUUCCGCAGGUUCACCUACGGAAA
rnacentral:misc_RNA from 1 species